AACCCAGGAGUGUGUAGCCCAGGCCAGUGUAUUGAUACGUUGGGAAGCUAUCGCUGUAUCUGCCCCAAUGGUUUCAAGGCUACAUCAGACCUGGCUAUGUGUAUAGAUGUGGAUGAGUGUGAGAGACAGCCAUGUGGAAACGGGACCUGUAAGAACACAGUGGGAUCCUAUAACUGCCUGUGUUAUCCAGGCUUUCAGCUCUCACACAACAAUGACUGCAUAGAUACGGAUGAGUGUUCGAGCCAGAGAGG